rnacentral:tRNA from 2 species
UGCCAUAGCUCAGUUGGUAGAGCAACGGACUGAAAAUCCGUGUGUCCCUGGUUCGAUUCCAGGUGGCA